rnacentral:rRNA from 1 species
UACGUAGGGUGCGAGCGUUGUCCGGAAUUAUUGGGCGUAAAGAGCUUGUAGGCGGUUUGUCGCGUCUGCUGUGAAAAUCCGGGGCUCAACCCCGGACUUGCAGUGGGUACGGGCAGACUAGAGUGUGGUAGGGGGAGACUGGAAUUCCUGGUGUAGCGGUGAAAUGCGCAGAUAUCAGGAGGAACACCGAUGGCGAAGGCAGGGUCUCUGGGCCACUACUGACGCUGAGAAGCGAAAGCAUGGGGAGCGAACAGG